rnacentral:rRNA from 1 species
GAUGAACGCUGGCGGCGUGCUUAUCACAUGCAAGUCGAACGGAAAGGCCCAAGCUUGCUUGGGUACUCGAGUGGCGAACGGGUGAGUAACACGUGGGUGAUCUGCCCUGCACUUCGGGAUAAGCCUGGGAAACUGGGUCUAAUACCGGAUAGGACCACUUCUUGGAUGUUGUGGUGGAAAGUUUUUUCGGUGUGGGAUGAGCUCGCGGCCUAUCAGCUUGUUGGUGGGGUAAUGGCCUACCAAGGCGUCGACGGGUAGCCGGCCUGAGAGGGUGUACGGCCACAUUGGGACUGAGAUACGGCCCAGACUCCUACGGGAGGCAGCAGUGGGGAAUAUUGCACAAUGGGCGCAAGCCUGAUGCAGCGACGCCGCGUGGGGGAUGACGGCCUUCGGGUUGUAAACUCCUUUCGCUAGGGACGAAGCGUUUUGUGACGGUACCUGGAGAAGAAGCACCGGCUAACUACGUG